rnacentral:lncRNA from 1 species
CCGGGCGCCAUCUGCUGACGGCACCCGGAGCUCCAGCUUGGAAUGAAGGCAGGGGGUGUGCUGGAAUUCACCAACUCCAGAACAAGGCCGGUCUCAGAUCUCUGAGAAUGAAGGGGAUGCACUGUUUGACAGACACCAGGCAGAAAAGGCGAAGAAAGAGGACGUGUGUGCGUGUGCCUAUGGCAAAUUAACCCAGAAGAGUACUUCAGAGAACACAGACAAACUGCCGUGCAGUGAAGAGAAUGUGGCAGGAAGCCCUGGUAUUCUAGAAGAAGCUCUGCCCACUCCAGACAGGAUCCGCACGCCUAGUGCCAUGUCUAUCUCCAAGGAGAUCACAUUCUAGAGCCAAGGACCGCCACUGAGAAGAAAGUAACGUGAGCCGUCAGAAUGCAUACCUGGAGCGCUCCAGGAAGGAAAUCUCAGCCCCGGCAUCCUCCAUGGUCACACGGAGAGGGCGGGUGUCCUUGUAGCUUUGGCCCUGAGAUGGGAGCUAGAGCUGGACACAGGGUUCUAGUCCUGGCUUUGCUGUAAACAGCUCCCAGACCUGGAGCAAGUGCCUUACCUGUCUGUGUAAUGUGGGAGCUGAUGUGGAUCAUCUUUAAGCCCUCUGCAAGAUGGACACGCUGGGAUCAUAAUAAGGACACAUGCCAGUCAGGCCAGGUUCUUCAUUUGAAAACCUUUAUACAUUUUUUUCUCUUCAGCCUUAAUAAAAUUAACUCACCUAGCAUUGUAUAUAUGUCAAGCAGUUUUGAUCAUCCAAAUUUUUUAUUGUUGGCUGACCUCUAGCCAACAAUUCAUUUAUUUUCUGACCUUUUAAGAUGUUUCGUAGCUGCCAUUUCAUGUAUCUGAAAAAUGAGAUGUGAAAAGAAUACACAUAUUUAAGAACAA